rnacentral:tRNA from 1 species
GCGCUCGUAGCUCAAUUGGAUAGAGCAACGGACUUCGGAUCCGUAGGUUGUAGGUUCGACCCCUGUCGAGCGCACCA